rnacentral:rRNA from 1 species
CGAUGGAUAGGGGUUCUGAGAGGAAGGUCCCCCACAUUGGAACUGAGACACGGUCCAAACUCCUACGGGAGGCAGCAGUGAGGAAUAUUGGUCAAUGGGCGAGAGCCUGAACCAGCCAAGUAGCGUGAAGGAUGACUGCCCUAUGGGUUGUAAACUUCUUUUAUAAAGGAAUAAAGUCGGGUAUGGAUACCCGUUUGCAUGUACUUUAUGAAUAAGGAUCGGCUAACUCCGUGCCAGCAGCCGCGGUAAUACGGAGGAUCCGAGCGUUAUCCGGAUUUAUUGGGUUUAAAGGGAGCGUAGAUGGAUGUUUAAGUCAGUUGUGAAAGUUUGCGGCUCAACCGUAAAAUUGCAGUUGAUACUGGAUAUCUUGAGUGCAGUUGAGGCAGGCGGAAUUCGUGGUGUAGCGGUGAAAUGCUUAGAUAUCACGAAGAACUCCGAUUGCGAAGGCAGCUCACUAGACUGUAACUGACACUGAUGCUCGAAAGUGUGGGUAUCAAACAGGAUUAGAUACCCUGGUAGUCCACACAGUAAACGAUGAAUACUCGCUGUUUGCGAUAUACAGUAAGCGGCCAAGCGAAAGCAUUAAGUAUUCCACCUGGGGAGUACGCCGGCAACGGUGAAACUCAAAGGAAUUGACGGGGGCCCGCACAAGCGGAGGAACAUGUGGUUUAAUUCGAUGAUACGCGAGGAACCUUACCCGGGCUUAAAUUGCAGAUGAAUUACGGUGAAAGCCGUAAGCCGCAAGGCAUCUGUGAAGGUGCUGCAUGGUUGUCGUCAGCUCGUGCCGUGAGGUGUCGGCUUAAGUGCCAUAACGAGCGCAACCCUUGUUGUCAGUUACUAACAGGUUACGCUGAGGACUCUGACAAGACUGCCAUCGUAAGAUGUGAGGAAGGUGGGGAUGACGUCAAAUCAGCACGGCCCUUACGUCCGGGGCUACACACGUGUUACAAUGGGGGGUACAGAAGGCGGCUACCUGGUGACAGGAUGCUAAUCCCAAAAACCUCUCUCAGUUCGGAUCGAAGUCUGCAACCCGACUUCGUGAAGCUGGAUUCGCUAGUAAUCGCGCAUCAGCCACGGCGCGGUGAAUACGUUCCCGGGCCUUGUACACACCGCCCGUCAAGCCAUGGGAGCCGGGGGUACCUGAAGUGCGUAACCGCGAGGAGCGCCCUAGGGUAAAACUGGUGACUGGGGCUAAGUCGUAACAAGGUAGCCGUACCGGAAGGUGCGGCUG